rnacentral:rRNA from 1 species
UCGGGAAUAUUGCGCAAUGGAGGAAACUCUGACGCAGUGACGCCGCGUAUAGGAAGAAGGUUUUCGGAUUGUAAACUAUUGUCGUUAGGGAAGAGAAAGGACAGUACCUAAGGAGGAAGCUCCGGCUAACUACGUGCCAGCAGCCGCGGUAAUACGUAGGGAGCGAGCGUUAUCCGGAUUUAUUGGGUGUAAAGGGUGCGUAGACGGGUAAUUAAGUUAGUUGUGAAAUCCCUCGGCUCAACUGAGGAACUGCAACUAAAACUGAUUAUCUUGAGUGCAGGAGAGGUAAGUGGAAUUCCUAGUGUAGCGGUGAAAUGCGUAGAUAUUAGGAGGAACACCAGUGGCGAAGGCGACUUACUGGACUGUAACUGACGUUGAGGCACGAAAGUGUGGGGAGCAAACA